rnacentral:rRNA from 1 species
UACGUAGGGUGCAAGCGUUAAUCGGAAUUACUGGGCGUAAAGCGCACGUAGGCGGCCUGUUAAGUCGGAUGUGAAAGCCCCGGGCUCAACCCGGGAAGUGCAUUCGAAACUGGCGGGCUUGAAUAUGGAAGAGGGUCGCGGAAUUCCCGGUGUAGAGGUGAAAUUCGUAGAUAUCGGGAGGAACACCAGUGGCGAAAGCGGCUCUCUGGGACGGUACUGACGCUGAGACGCGAAAGCGUGGGGAGCAAACAGG